UCGCCCUACGGGGCGCAGCAGUAGGGAAUUUUCGUCAAUGGGCGCAAGCCUGAACGAGCAAUGCCGCGUGAACGAGGAAGGUCUUCGGAUCGUAAAGUUCUGUUGAAGGGGAAAAAGAGCGGAGAGAGGAAAUGGUCUCCGAUUGAUAUUACCCUUCGAGGAAGUCACGGCUAACUACGUGCCAGAAGCCGCGGUAAUACGUAGGUGGCGAGCGUUAUCCGGAAUGAUUGGGCGUAGAGGGUGCGUAGGCGGCAUGC
rnacentral:rRNA from 1 species